AGAGUUACAAUACAGUAGAUGCUUACAGCACAUAAACCUAGAUAUUCAAAAGCCUCAUAGUUAAAACAGAAGAAAACAAAACGAAACACAUAUUCAAAGAGUUGGAGAACAUUUCCAGAUUAGAAAAUCAAAAACAAGCACAGGAAACUACAGUAAAAACUCUGAAUUUGCACUAAAGGAGCUCACAGUGGAAAAGUAAGAAGAGCCAUCUUGGAGGCUGAAAAUAUUCAUGAGAAAGUACAUUUCGAAUUGGGUUUUCAGAAAAGUCAAGAUGGUUUUAUGGUUGCUGUAUGAGUGAAACGUUCAAGUCAGUGACUUAGAGUAAUACAGUCUGGGUCAUCCAUUCUAAUAACUUGGAGCUGGAAGAGUCUUCACACAAUAAAAUGGUGAUAUAUUCAUCAAUA